rnacentral:rRNA from 1 species
GGCCAUUGCUAUCGGAGUCCGAUUUAGCCCAUGCUUAGUUGCACGAGUUUAGACUCGUAGCAUAUAGCUCAGUAACACGUGGCCAAACUACCCUACAGGCCGCGAUAACCUCGGGAAACUGAGGCCAGUAGCGGAUAUAACUCUCAUGCUGGAGUGCCGAGAGUUAGAAACGUUCCGGCGCUGUAGGAUGUGGCUGCGGCCGAUUAGGUAGAUGGUGGGGUAACGGCCCACCAUGCCGAUAAUCGGUACAGGUUGUGAGAGCAAGAGCCUGGAGACGGUAUCUGAGACAAGAUACCGGGCCCUACGGGGCGCAGCAGGCGCGAAACCUUCACACUGCACGACAGUGCGAUAGGGGGACUCCGAGUGUGAGGGCAUAUAGCCCUCGCUUUUCAGUACCGUAAGGUGGUACAGGAACAAGGACUGGGCAAGACCGGUGCCAGCCGCCGCGGUAAUACCGGCAGUCCAAGUGAUGGCCGAUAUUAUUGGGCCUAAAGCGUCCGUAGCUUGCUGUGUAAGUCCAUUGGGAAAUCGACCAGCUCAACUGGUCGGCGUCCGGUGGAAACUACACAGCUUGGGGCCGAGAGACUCAACGGGUACGUCCGGGGUAGGAGUGAAAUCCUGUAAUCCUGGACGGACCACCGAUGGGGAAACCACGUUGAGAGACCGGACCCGACAGUGAGGGACGAAAGCCAGGGUCUCGAACCGGAUUAGAUACCCGGGUAGUCCUGGCUGUAAACAAUGCUCGCUAGGUAUGUCACGCGCCAUGAGCACGUGAUGUGCCGUAGUGAAGACGAUAAGCGAGCCGCCUGGGAAGUACGUCCGCAAGGAUGAAACUUAAAGGAAUUGGCGGGGGAGCACCACAACCGGAGGAGCCUGCGGUUU